CUCGUAGUUGGAUUUGUGGUUGGGUCUGUCGGUCCGGCACAUUGUGCGGGUACUUGAUGGACUCGUCCAUCCUUGGGUGGAAUCUGUGUGGCAUUAAGUUGUCGUGCAGGGGAUGCCCAUCGUUUACUGUGAAAAAAUUAGAGUGUUCAAAGCAGGCUUAUGCCGUUGAAUAUAUUAGCAUGGAAUAAUGAGAUAGGACCUUGGUACUAUUUUGUUGGUUUGCGCACCGAGGUAAUGAUUAAUAGGGACAGUUGGGGGUAUUCGUAUUCCAUUGUCAGAGGUGAAAUUCUUGGAUUUUUGGAAGACGAACUACUGCGAAAGC
rnacentral:rRNA from 1 species